UUCAGAGGGGGACAACAGCUGGAAACGGCUGCUAAUACCGCAUGACGCAUUCGGAUGGCAUCAUCUGAAUGCCAAAGAUUUAUCGCUGAAAGAUGGCCUCGCGUCUGAUUAGAUAGUUGGCGGGGUAACGGCCCACCAAGUCGACGAUCAGUAGCCGGACUGAGAGGUUGACCGGCCACAUUGGGACUGAGAUACGGCCCAG
rnacentral:rRNA from 1 species